GCUACACAUCGGUAUGCCUGAUAUACAAGUGACCAAGACAACAAGAAUUAUUUUUCACUGGGAUAAUAGUGUCACAAAAGACAGCAAGAAGAUGGAACAUGAUUCUCCUUCUCUUCUUCUACCACCUUCUUCAUUUUGCAUCUAACACACAGUGGAGAAACUCCAGGCUGCUACUGGUUUCGGACCGUCUGUGCUGGGGCUGGAUCUCCAAACCCAAAUGUGCUUUGGAAGAAGUGUCUGGAGACCAUGUUGGAGAGCAUUCUGCAGUGAAUAGGGGGUUAGAUUAUCAGUGGUUCCCAGGACUUGGUGAUAAUCAGAUGUUCCUAAGCACCCUUUAAAUGUACACAUUCCUUGGCCCUGUCUCUAGAGAGAGGCCUAGGAUAAAGCCUGAAAAUCUAAAUUUUAAAACAUCUUCCCAGAUGAAUCUGAUACUCCUGCCAGGAUUGGCACUCCAGGAAUAGAUGAGCUCCAGUGUCCCAUUCAACUCAAAAACUCUAGGACUAGGUGUCAAUUGAAAACUUCUCAGAGACUGUGCUCGAUAUUCAUCUGUACCUUUACUACGUCUUGAGCAUUUAAAGCAAAUAAACAAUUCUCUUUUGUAAUCUGACUACCUAUC
rnacentral:lncRNA from 1 species